UACAGAGGGGGCGAGCGUUAUUCGGAAUUAUUGGGCGUAAAGGGCGCGUAGGCGGCCAUUCAAGUGACGGGUGAAAUCCCUCGGCUUAACCGAGGAACUGCCUGUCAGACUGGGCGGCUUGAGACCGGGAGAGGUGAGUGGAAUUCCCAGUGUAGCGGUGAAAUGCGUAGAUAUCGGGAGGAACACCAGUGGCGAAGGCGACUACCUGGCCUGUUCUUGACGCUGAGGCGCGAAAGCUAGGGGAGCAAACGGG
rnacentral:rRNA from 1 species